rnacentral:lncRNA from 1 species
UGGACCGCUUGCAGACAAUUGAGAGGAAAAACAGGAUCUGGUAAUGCCUCAGCAACAGAGGAUGAGUGAUUCAUUGGGUUGACCCCCAGUAGACACAGCGGAACCGGUGACUCAGUAACGAUAAUGACAUACUGCUUUGGGUUGACCCAAAGUAAACGCAACGACUCCGUGAUCGAAACUGGUGCGAUUCACGUGUUGGGUGAUAUCUAAGGAGUUGACGAUUGAAUUGGAGAAUACACAGAUAUUUUUAACGAGUUGCUACUGCAGAGCUCUCAAUAAG